rnacentral:rRNA from 1 species
CACGCUGCGACCGGGGCAGGGUUCAGACUCCUACGGGAGGCAGCAGUGGGGAAUAUUGGACAAUGGGCGAAAGCCUGAUCCAGCACAUGCCGCGUGUGUGAAGAAGGUCUUCGGAUUGUAAAGCACUUUAAGUUGGAGGAAGGGCAUUAACCUAAUACGUUAGUGUUUUGACGUUACCGACAGAAUAAGCACCGGCUAAC